AGCAUCAACCACAACAACAACACUGACACAAACUGUAUCAGUUCGUGAGAAAACAUCAAGUCCUACAGCACCAUCAGCUCCUAAACAACAAGUGCCUGUGAUUGCUGCUGUGAUUGCUGCAGUAGUUUUUCUCUUUGCUGGUGUCCUUCUUGGGGUGAUUUGUUUAAAAAGAUCACGUAGAAGACAAGCUGAUAUUCAUCUGGUCACAGAAAAAGGAAGCAAUGACACAAUCAUCAUUUCUAAUAUUCCUGAGCAGAAAGAUGAUGUGACUUAUUCAGAGGUGAUCACUUCUGGUGAGAAGCAACAGAAGAAUAAAAACGUUUAUUCUGCUGAAAAAGUGACUUAUGCUGCCAUCAGAGGAGAAGUUGAAGUCCAGAAGAACUGCACAGAGCUUUAUGCCUCUGUUAACAAAACAUCUCACAAACAGAUAUAAGUAUACAAACAGCAGAAUUUACAAUAUUACAAGCAAAUGAAAAUGAACCUUUAAACCAAUAGUGAUUAAGUCAUUGGAAUUGUAAAUAUGUUGUUAACAAACUAAAGUGGUGAUUUGAUAUCUACAUUUAUUAAAUUUUUGUUCAGCUUUAGAUGUUUGUCUGCUUGUUAAUGUUUUGAUGUUAUUGUCCUUAUCACUUAGUGAAAACAGCACUCUUAAAACAAAUGUGUUAAAAUGAACACAUUCUUGAUGCAGCUGCUCAAAUUUUGUUUAUUUGUACCUGUGACACAUUUGUACUAAUCAGUGACUUUUUUGUAAUGAUACUUUGAUGAUGACAAAAUCAGAUGUGAAUGGCUCUAUGAAUUUAUUUCUGUUUGUAUAAUGUGACUGUAAAUGCUCAUUGUGGUUUUUAUGUAAAUUUUAUGUUGUGUCAGUUCAUAUCAUAACCUUUAACUAAACUGCCUAUUUCCUAACUACUUGUAUGUUAGUUUAAG